rnacentral:tRNA from 3 species
GCUGUGAUGGUGUAGCGGUUAGCACGGUAGGUUGUGGUCCUGCCAGCCCGGGUUCAAGUCCCGGUCACGGCC